ACACUCAGCACACUUUACUCGCUUUCCAACACACGCCAUGUAAUCAUGGCAAUGAUCCCUUCGACGUACUGACAUGGAAGCGCAUGGAAUCCUACGAUACUGGCUUAGUCGCCAGGCUCCCGGCUUGCGAUGGGACUGGAGAACCACUAGGACUAUUGCCACAGCCGCGGCAGUAGCAGCCUUUCGAUGAGUUGUGGUUCAAAAAUCUCUACCACGAUGUCUGGAAAGUUGUGAUCUUUCGACGUGAUCAGAGGGAUGAAGAAUUUCUGUUUACAUCGUUUCAGUAUUCAAUCUACUUUGUGUUAACUAAAGAUGGUGGUAACAAAACACAACCAUACAUGGCUUCUGGAAUUCCAUAAUCCGGCUUGAAUUGGAUAAUUUACGGCCCUUAAAAUGAUUAAUUUAGUUAUUGUUUACAAUCAAGUCAUGCAAAGCACACUAGAGAUGGAAAAAAACAUUUAAGAUAUAUCGAUGAUUCUCUUCUUGAAAACAUCGAACUAUCGAUCUACGGAAAUUAUUGGUAAUUUUCCACCACUAACUCACGCAAAGCCAACAGGUAAUCAAAAUCUAGGAACUGGUGUCUCUGACGUGUUAACAAGGAAGCGCAACGAAUCCUACGCAACAGACAGCCGCAUGUGAGGUGCCUGAAGAAACACUAGGACUACUUUGAUAGAUUCUGAUCGCGCUGCUGUCGUGGUGCAAAAAUCAUCGUUGACAACUAUGAUUGGAAAGCUAUGAUAUGCCUCAUGAUAAAAGUUCUGGCCAGAAGUUCAAAGUCAUUCUGGAUUGGGCCGUGCUCCAGAUCAAUAUUUUUCAAUGUACCAUCUAGUUUAUGGCAAACGACGAUCAUGGUAACAGGUCGUACCCGAACAUGGCUUCUGGAGUUCAAUCUGUGUUUUGCAAUAGUGUUGCAAAGCAUUAAAAUGAAUGUGUUGGAAAGCUUCAGAUCACUAGUGUUGAACAAAAACAUGUGCUGAUCAACACUUGUUGCAGAAACAUUUGUUGCCGAAACUUGUUGCAGCAGCCUGCUUUGAAGAUACAUUUGCAACAUCAUAUGCACCCUGGCACGACACUCCCUGAGGUGUGUUCUACACAGUAAUUUCACAUGGGUGAACGAGCUGCAUAAACCAACCAACGCUGCAAGAACAUUUCCCAACCAUGGAGAACCUUCAGCUAUUCGUCGUCGCUUGAAGCCUUUGGACCUGUAGUUCCAGAAUCCGGUCUAUAGUUAAAGUCUAUUAUAGUUUAUCACUUGUAGGGUAUGCAAUAAAUGAGAACAUUUUGUGUGUUUUAUUCAACA